CUCAGAGCCUAAUCUGCCCUCUGCCACCUAUCCAGUCAGUCACCGUCCAGCAGGUGCAGCUGGGAGGUCACCCUGGGCUUCUCCCCACCAGCAGGGAAGCAGAACCAUGCUGGGUCCCCUCGCCCUCCUGUGUGCCCUCCUGUUUCCAGGUGGCGUGGCAGCGAUCAGUCUGACUCAGCAGGCUGUGGCCGUGGGGCGUGUGGGCAGCUCGGCCACCCUGUCCUGCCAAGCCAGCGCCUACGUCAGCUACAUCCACUGGUACCUCCACCAGGAGGGGACUGCGCUCAAGAGGAUCCUCAGGCUGGACAUGUCAAGGUUAUAUGUGGAGAGGUAUGGGGGCUUGGAAGUGGACAAAAUCGAUGCCAAGAAAGGCAAGGAAAGCAACAGCUGUGAACUGUCAGUGAAGAAGCUGCAGAAGAGCGACGAGGGCGUGUACUACUGUUCUGCCUGGGAAGGGGCUUACAAAGUAUUUGGUGCUGGCACACUGCUCAGGGUCACAGAUAAAAAUCCUGAUGAAGACACUUCCCCCAAGCCCACAAUUUUUCUUCCUUCAAUUGCUGAAGUAAACCUCCAUAAGGCUGGAACAUAUCUUUCUCUUCUUGAGAAUUUUUUCCCUGAUGUUAUCGAGAUAGAUUGGAAAGAACAGGAUGGCAAAACAAUUCUGACGUCUCAACAGGGAAACACCAUGAAGACUAAGGACACAUACAUGAAAUACACCUGGCUGACCGUGAGUGAAGAGUCAAUGGGCAAAGAACACAAAUGUAUCGUUAAACAGGAGAAGAAUAAAAGAAGGUUUGAACAAGAGAUUCUGUUUCCUUCAAUAAACAAAGGUGUGGUGGAGGCAAGAGGAUCCGAAGUAGACCCACAGGGGCAUUCGGAGACAAGGCGAAACACAGGGGUGGUCACUGUGAGCCCUUUGAGUUCACCGUCCUCCUCACCGGUUUCAAGGGCUGCGGAGCUCGCUGCUGUUAACUACACAAAAGCUUCUCUGAAAGAUGAAAAUGACCCCCGACAGGUGCAGCUUGUGAACACCUCUGCCUACUACACCUACCUCCUCCUUGUCAUCAAGAGCAUGGUCUACACCGUCAUCAUCGCCAUCUGUCUGCUUGGGAGACCAGAACUCUGUGACAAUGGGAAGAGUUCCUAACCCAUGGUGGCACCAAGGGUCCACUUUUCUCCAUUGGCUAUUGUCACUAGAAGAGUCUGCUGGAGAUAUAGCGGGGCUUUCUUUCUGCGUUUGGGUUAUUUCAGUUCGCAUGUUUCUUUUUCUAUGUGUCAUCAUUGCAGAACAGGUUUACAAACCGCUAGGCAGACAGGACUUGUCACUCUGCAUGGAGAACAAUUUCUGCCAUGACUCAGGGAUGGGGACGGGGGGCAUCCACGGGGGCUUCAGUACCUCUCUAUCCUUCACAUCCGCCAGCUCGUCAGCAGUGCAGCACCCUCGCCUCUGAGUACACUUGGCGUGCAGCUUCCAUAGAGCUCCUGGGGCUCUGUAUCCAGAUAACUUCCUGGAGGCCUUUUAUUUUACAUUUCUGGAAGCUGCCAUCUUUGCUACCUGAGUUUUGUUAUGUUUUUCAUAAUAGGCACAAUAAAAACAAUCACAAGUCUA